CACGGAGUUAGCCGGUGCUUAUUCCUAAGAUACCGUCAUAAUCUUCUCUUAGAAAAGGAGUUUACAAUCCGAAGACCUUCAUCCUCCACGCGGCGUUGCUGCUUCAGGGUUUCCCCCAUUGAGCAAUAUUCCCUACUGCUGCCUCCCGUAGGAGUCUGGACCGUGUCUCAGUUCCAGUGUGUCCGAUCACCCUCUCAGGCCGGAUACCCGUCAUAGCCUUGGUGAGCCAUUACCUCACCAACAAGCUGAUAGGACAUAGGCUGAUCCCAUAGCGAAAAAACUUUCCCCUCUCGGGAGUAUCCGGUAUUAAUCACCGUUUCCAGUGGCUAUUCCAGACUAUGGGGCACAUGACCUAUGCAUUACUCACCCGUGCGCCACUAAUCAGCAAAGUAGCAAGCUACUUCCUGUUACCGUUCGACUUGCAUGUAUUAGGCACGCCGCCAGCGUUCACUCUGAGCCAGGAUCAAACUCU
rnacentral:rRNA from 1 species